CAGCAUCAACGCCUAAGGCACCCAACAACAAUUAACCCGUCAGCAACCUUAGAAACAUCCGAGCUUCUCUUAGAUUGCUGAGACAGAGAGCUAUUCUGCUCCACCAGAUGUCCCAACCGAGCUUCAGCCGUCUGAUCCGAACUCUCCGAUAAGUCACGAUAACGGACACCACUCCACUCUCUGUAACAAACUCCACGUGGCCCCACUACUCUCCGGCAAGUCACGACAAUG
rnacentral:lncRNA from 1 species